UGGGAAGAAAUUGGUGAGGUGGAUGAAAACUAUGCUCCGAUACACACAUACCAAGUAUGCAAGGUAAUGGAACAGAAUCAGAACAACUGGCUUCUGACCAGCUGGAUCUCUAAUGAAGGGGCAUCCCGCAUCUUCAUUGAGCUCAAAUUCACCCUGAGGGACUGUAACAGCCUUCCAGGAGGACUUGGGACUUGCAAAGAGACUUUUAACAUGUAUUACUUUGAAUCAGAUGAUGAAGAUGGGAGGAAUAUCAAAGAAAACCAGUACAUCAAGAUCGAUACCAUUGCUGCUGAUGAGAGCUUCACAGAGUUAGACCUUGGUGACAGAGUUAUGAAGCUAAACACAGAGGUGAGAGAUGUCGGGCCCCUAACGAAAAAGGGAUUUUACCUUGCUUUCCAGGAUGUGGGUGCCUGCAUCGCCCUGGUCUCUGUGCGUGUGUACUACAAGAAAUGCCCAUCGGUGAUCCGCAACCUGGCCCGCUUUCCUGACACCAUCACAGGAGCGGAUUCCUCGCAGCUGCUAGAGGUGGCAGGCGUCUGUGUCAACCACUCAGUGACCGAGGAGGCGCCGAAGAUGCACUGCAGUGCUGAGGGGGAAUGGCUGGUGCCUAUCGGGAAGUGCUUGUGCAAGGCAGGGUAUGAGGAGAAGAACAACACCUGCCAAGGUAAGGGUCUGCUGGGAGGGUGCUGUGCUGACGCUGCUGAGGUCUUCGCUUUCUUUUCUUCCAUGUCUUUAAUGCCUGGUUGCGUUGACAAUGGUGGGUCAGGUUCUCACUUCCACUGAG